rnacentral:rRNA from 1 species
UGGGGAAUAUUGCACAAUGGGCGAAAGCCUGAUGCAGCAACGCCGCGUGAGUGAUGAAGGUCUUCGGAUUGUAAAGCUCUGUCUUUUGGGACGAUAAUGACGGUACCAAAGGAGGAAGCCACGGCUAACUACGUGCCAGCAGCCGCGGUAAUACGUAGGUGGCGAGCGUUGUCCGGAUUUACUGGGCGUAAAGGGUGCGUAGGCGGAUGUUUAAGUGAGAUGUGAAAUACCCGGGCUUAACUUGGGUGCUGCAUUUCAAACUGGGUAUCUAGAGUGCAGGAGAGGAGAAUGGAAUUCCUAGUGUAGCGGUGAAAUGCGUAGAGAUUAGGAAGAACACCAGUGGCGAAGGCGAUUCUCUGGACUGUAACUGACGCUGAGGCACGAAAGCGUGGGUAGCAAACAGGAUUAGAUACCCUGGUAGUCCACGCCGUAAACGAUGAGUACUAGGUGUAGGAGGUAUCGACCCCUUCUGUGCCGCAGUAAACACAUUAAGUACUCCGCCUGGGAAGUACGAUCGCAAGAUUAAAACUCUAAAGUGAAUUGAC